CACGUAGGGCGCGAGCGUUUGUCCGGAAUUAUUGGGCGUAAAGAGCUCGUAGGCGGCCUGUUGCGUCCGCUGUGAAAGCCCGGGGCUUAACCCCGGGUCUGCAGUGGAUACGGGCAGGCUAGAGGUAGGUAGGGGAGAAUGGAAUUCCCGGUGUAGCGGUGAAAUGACGCAGAUAUCAGGAGGAACACCAGUGGCGAAGGCGGCUCACUGGUCCGAUACUGACGCUGAGACGCGAAAGCGUGGGGGAGCAAAACAGG
rnacentral:rRNA from 1 species